UACGAAGGGGGCUAGCGUUGCUCGGAAUCACUGGGCGUAAAGCGCACGUAGGCGGAUCUUUAAGUCAGGGGUGAAAUCCUGGAGCUCAACUCCAGAACUGCCUCUGAUACUGGGGAUCUUGAGUCCGGAAGAGGUAAGUGGAACUGCGAGUGUAGAGGUGAAAUUCGUAGAUAUUCGCAAGAACACCAGUGGCGAAGGCGGCUUACUGGUCCGGUACUGCACGCUGAGGUGCGAAAGCGUGGGGAGCAAACAGG
rnacentral:rRNA from 1 species